AUGGAUCUGCGCGCCGUCUGCCACAACUGGCGCUCCGCCACUGACGAUCCCAGGAACAGCAUCUCUGAUUCCCGGUUCCGGCCUCGCCUAUGGAUCGUCCUCGACGAGGUCUUCGAGAGUGACACGCGCCGCCUCUUGGUCAACACCGCCACCGGCCGGUUCCUCCACAAGGAGCUCCCGCUGCUCCGUGACUACUAUGUCGUCACCACCAGUCCCCAUGGUUUAUUCGUCCUGGCCGACAGGAGCCCUCCUCACGCGGCUUGUGUCUUCAACCCUCUCACCGGUGAGAUCAUCCGUUUCACGGCGGCGACUGUGCCGCUCGAGGUUCAGGUCACCGCUGCCGUCUGCUUUGACUUCUCUUCGCCCUUGCUCACAUUGUACUGCCACUCGUGUUGCAAGAUGUACUACAUGACCAGUCCUCACAGCAGUUUUGACACCCUAGACCUAGAGUGCGCGCUUUUGGUUUAUAGUUUUUUCCGGAGGGCGGCCGGAGCUGGUUUGGUUGGUCCUUGGUGGGAUUUACUCAGAACAACUGGCAUGGCUCUCAAGAUCUACGAAGUGGGGCAGUCGCUUUGCGUUGAUCUGUUGAAGUUUUUCUCCGAUGAUCCUACUGAGAUGGGACUUGCAAACGAUGCCCGGUGUUUCCCAAUGGAAUUCCGUGGACAGAAGCUGGUCGCCAUCAAGGGACAACAUUUCUUCCAGGUUUUAAGAUUCGAGAGCGGCGAGCUUUUGUAUGUGAAGAGCAUCUUGAACCAUGCCAUCUUCAUUGGUCAUCAUAGGUGCCUUGUUGUGGAUGCUGAUAUGUUCCCAUUGAUUGAGGCAAACUGUAUCUACUACACCGAACACCACGGGUCGUCUGCUCACAUCUGGAAGUACAAUAUCAAGGACCGGAAAGCUGAGAGGAUCUCGGAAGCUGCCGAUUUUGUGAAGCGGGACAAGCAUUUUCUCCUCAUUGGCAACCGUCCUUUCACGAUCGUCCAGCUUCUGUCAAGCUACACCAUCAGCAUCCGGGAUUCUGAACUGGCCUUGCAGCAGACCACACAAGGCGCUGAUGAACUGCAUGACAUUUGA
rnacentral:rRNA from 1 species